rnacentral:rRNA from 1 species
UGCGUAGGCGGGCUAAUAAGUCAGUGGUGAAAUCUUCCAGCUCAACCGGGAAACUGCCAUUGAUACUGUUAGCCUUGAGUUAGGUUGAGGUAGGCGGAAUGUGUAAUGUAGCGGUGAAAUGCUUAGAUAUUACACAGAACACCAAUUGCGUAGGCAGCUUACUGGACCUACACUGACGCUGAGGCACGAAAGCGUGGGGAGCGAACAGGAUUAGAUACCCUGGUAGUC